UUUUUAUGCCCCACCUACGAUAGUAGAGGGGCGUUAUGUUUUCUGGUCUGUGCCUCCGUCCGUCCGUCCGUCCGUCCGUCCGUCUGUGCGUCCGUUCGUUUUUCCGGUUAAAGUUUUUGGUCGAGGUAGUUUUUGAUGAAGCUGAAGUCCAAUCAACUUGAAACUUAAUACACAUGUUCCUCAUGAUAUGAUCUUUCUAAUUUUAAUGCCAAAUUAUAGUUUUGACCCCAAUUUCAUGGUCCACUGAACAUAGAAAAUGAUAGUGCAAAGUUCAGGUUAAAGUGUUUGGUCAAGGUAGUUUUUGAUGAAGUUAAAGUUACAUCAACUUGAAACUUAGAACACAUGUUCCCUAUGAUAUGAUCUUUCUAAUUUUAAUUCCAAAUUAAAGUUUUGACCCCAAUUUCACGGUCCACUGAACAUAGAAAAUGAUAGUGGGAGUGGGGCAUCCG
rnacentral:lncRNA from 1 species